GGGCAUAAUGCUUCAUAGGUGAAAUAUACUGGAAUGUUUUUUCACUGAAAAGAUGCACACCAUGCAAGUGUAAUCGCUUUAGGAUGAGACUGCGGCAGAUUAGGCUGUUGGCGGGGUAACGGCCCACCAAACCAAAGAUCUGUACGGGCCCUGAGAGGGGGAGCCCGGAGAAGGGAACUGAGAAAAGGUCCCUAGCCCUACGGGGUGCAGCAGGCGCGAAACUUCUACAAUGCGCGAAAGCGUGAUAGAGGGAUUUCGAGUGCUAGCUAUGCUAGCUUUUGCCAAGUGUAGACAGCUUGGCGAAUAAGUGCUGGGUAAGAUGCGUGCCAGCCGCCGCGGUAACACGUACAGCACAAGUGGUGUCCACUUAUAUUGGGCCUAAAGCAUCUGUAGCCUGUUUAAUAAGUCUUUGGUGAAAUCAUCUAGCUUAACUAGAUGAAUUGCUAAAGAUACUGUUAUGACUCGAGGACGGGAGACGUAAAGGGAAUUCUAGGAGUAGGAGUGAAAUCUUGUGAUCCCUAGAGGACCUCCAGUAGCGAAGGCGCUUUACGAGAACGUACCUGACGGUGAGAGAUGAAAGCUGGGGGAGCGACCCGGAUUAGAUACCCGGUUAGUCCCAGCCGUAAACGAUGCUGACUAGGUGUGCUAUUUCCUUCGAGGAACUAGCGUGCCGAAGCGAAGGCGUUAAGUCAGCCGCCUGGGGAGUAUAAUCGCAAGGUUGAAACUUAAUGGAAUUGGCGGGGGCGCACUACAAGGGGUGGAUGCUGCGGUUUAAUUGGACACAACGCCAGACAACUCACCAGGGGCGACAGCAGAAUGAUGGUCAAUCUAAGGGUUUACCUGACACGCUGAGAGGUGUUGUAUGGUCAUCGUCAGCUCGUACUAUGAAGCGUCCUGUCAACUCAGGUAACGGGCGAGACCCACACCAUUAGUUGCUAUUUCUUCUCUGGAAGGAAGCACUCUAAUGGGACUGCAAGGGCAACCUUGUGGAAGGAGUGGUUGACGGUAGAUCUGUAUGGCCCGAAUCUCCUGGGCUACACGCGGCAUACAUUGGCUAAAACAACGGGUCCCGACCCCGAAAGGGCAAGGUAAUCUCUUAAAGUUAGCCUAAGUAUGGAUUGAGGGUUGGAACUCACCCUCAUGAAAAUGGAAUCCCCAGUAAUCGCGCGUCACUAUCACGCGGUGAAUAUGUCCCUGCGCCUUGCACACACCGCCCAUCAAGCCAUCUGAGUAGAGCCUGGAUGAGCUGCAACUCUUUGGGUUGCAUCAAUUCUAGGUUCCGUAAGGAGGGCUAAGUUGUAACAAGGUG
rnacentral:rRNA from 1 species